GAGGAAAUGGUAAGAUUGUUGGUUGUUAUGACAUGACCAUAUGGGAAUGAUGGAAAUUUGACGCGAUUCUGACUGCAAAUCGAUGUCUAACUUUAGUGUAGGGGCGAAGGACUAAUCGAACUAUCUAGUAGCUGAUUCCCUCUGAAGUUUCCCUGAGGAUAGCUGGAUUACGUAAUAAAGUAGCUAUAUUAGCUAAAGGGAAUGAUUAGAGGAAUUGUGGGAUGAAACGUCUUCAACCUGUUCUCAAGUAUUCAGUGAGUAUGACGUCUUGCUUGUUUGAAUGAAGCAUAGACAUUGAAUGUGUGCUCCAAGUGGGCCAUUUUUG
rnacentral:ncRNA from 1 species